CAAGUACUCCCUCCGUUCCGAAUUACUUGUCUUGGAUUUGUCUAGAUACAUCCGUAUCUAGACUCAUUUUAGUGCUAGAUACCUCCGCAUCUAGACAAAUCUAAGACAAGUAAUUGGGAACGGAGGGAGUAUUUC
rnacentral:pre_miRNA from 1 species